AGUGAAUAAAGGGAGGAGCUUCAGAAACUCAGAGAGAGUCCUGUUACUGAACGCUGGAGAUUUGGGAGUGAAGGAGCAGCUCAAGUCAUUUUCUCUUAGCAGGUUUCUUCGCACAUCUAAAGGAAGCACACUUCUUUCGACUCACAGCGCAGGGUCGUACUCUCAGGAUUGAAGCAUGGAUGAUGAUUUCGAACGGCGCAGGGAGCUCAGGAGACAGAAACGGGAGGAGAUGCGUCUGGAAGCCGAGAGGAUGGCAUAUCGUCGGAGUGAGGAGGAUGAGGAGGAGGCCGCUCGUGAGCGCAGACGAAGAGCACGUCAGGAGAGAAUGCGUGGUAAGGAGAGUGAAGAUGUGGCCUACAAACCUGAGACUCCGGAGCUCAACAACAGCCACAGCGUUAUGGUGACAGAGAGCGUAUCCACCUCAGUGGUGACCUCCAGUGGGACGGGAGAGGACGAGGAGGAACAGGCCCUGCUGGAGCGCCUGGCUAAGAGAGAGGAGCGCAGGCAGAGGAGGAUGAAGGAGGCGCUGGACCGACAGGAGGAGGACGACACCAGCCAAACCUCAGAGAGCAGCGCUGGUCUGCGGCCCGGCCCGAGAUACGAGGCAGAGGAGGAGCACAACAGCAAGGAGGUGGAGAAGCAGGUGGAAGAGGAGGAGGUCAUCCCGAGGGAGGAGGUGGUUGUGGAGGAAAAGCCACGGAGGUCUUAUUUGAGAGAACAGGAAUCCGUUGAGGAAAUAUCUAAAAUACCUGAUGAGGACAAUAAUGAGCAAGAUGCUCUGCCUGCUUCCGAAGUACGUGAGGUGAUUUUAAAUGAAGACGUAAAUGAUUCUGCUGUUGUUUCGGGGACGGAUGUGGAAAAUGGCACCGCAGAACUCACUGCAGGUGUACACGAGGAAAAGAGUGAGAUAAAGGGAUUGACAAAGAAUGGAGUGGAUGAAAUGAGAGAGACAGAAAACGUUGAGAAAUAUGAGACAGAGAUUUCAGAAAAUGACGAGUCUUUGAUGGAAGAUGAAGAUAUGAUGAGGAAGAAUAAACAGCCAAAUGGAGGAGUGUGUGAGGACAGCCCUCUCAAACACAAGAAAGCCGAGAGGACUUUCAGCCGAGGCAGCUUACGCUCUCCUGAGGCGCCGGAAGUAGACGAGGCAGACGGCGAGGAUGCUCGCUUGGAGGCCGAGAGAAAGCUGGAGGAACUGAAGAGGAGGAGAGAUGAGAUGGAGAGCGAGGAGUUUGAGAGGAUGAGGCAGAAACAGCAGGAGGCCGAGGUGGAGCUGGAGGAGCUGAAGAGGAAGAGGGAGGAGAGGAGGAAGGUGCUGGACGAGGAGGAGCGGCAGAGGAAGCAGGAGGAGGCCGAGAGGAAAGCCAGAGAGGAGGAGGAGAAGAGGAGGAUGAAGGAGGAGAUAGAGAAAAGAAGAGCGGAGGCGGCUGAGAAAAGGCAGAAAGUGGAGGAUUAUGUGGAUGGAGAGACCAGGAAGCCCUUUAAGUGUGUCAGUCCCAGAGGAUCCUCCCUGAAGAUCGGUGAGAGGGCAGAAUUUCUCAACAGAUCAGCACAAAAGAGUUCCUUAAAGGCAUCUCAUGCUCCUGUGGUGUCUAAGAUUGAUAACAGAUUAGAACAGUACACCACCGCAGUGCAGAGCAACAAGGAGGUCAGAUCUCCCAGAUCAGCUGCCAUAGAUCUUCCUAUGGUGACAGACGGUAUUCGCAACAUCAAGAGCAUGUGGGAGAAGGGGAAUGUCUUCAGCUCUGGUGGAAGCCCAGCGUCAACCAAUAAGGAUGCAGCUGGGAUAAAGGUGGGCGUGGCUGGCCGCAUCAACGAUUGGUUAAAUAAAACUCCAGAGACAGGCAAAAUGUCAGGAGGAAGACCCACGGACCUGAAGCCAGGUGACGUGACCAGCAAACGCAGUCUAUGGGAAAACAAAGGGUCCUCUGCUACCAAGCCAUCCCCUUGCUAAUUGUCUACAGAUCUGACCACCUUGAGGAGGACGCAAGCAGAGGAGAGACCAAAUCCGUCACCAAUGGAACGGGCCAUUAACCUUUCAAAGACGCCAGAGAGGCAGGGACCAAGAGAAUGCACAACAUUCCUUUUUAAACUUUUAUUAAUACCAAAAAAAAAAAAAAAAAACACACACACACAAGCAUUUUAUACUGUCAGGAAGAUCUGUGUGUAGACACGGUAUAAAAGAGAAAAAUGUAAAAAUAUAUAUAAAUAUAUUUUUUAUCACUGUAUUCACAGGCCACCAUCUUGCACCAUCAUAACACAAACGCAGUUGCGUGUACCUUCUGUUAAACUGAAAUCUGUGAAAACGAGCGAUUACGACUCUCAUUUGUUAAGAUUAUAACAAUUAUAUAACCGCUCAAAACAUUACAAGAUUCCUUGCAUAGGAGGACGAGGAGUAGCAUUCCGAAUUGUCUUUUGUCAAAUCACAAAGCAUAUUAAGCAUGUUAUUUACCCUUCUCACCUGUUAAUUUAUAACUAAAGCAAAGCUUCACCCUGCAUUUCAUACAUGUUCGCCAGUUCCAGACCGAAUAUGAGCACCUGUAGAGUAGCUGUAUUUUGUAGGCCUACUUUUUUUU